GAUGAACGCUGGCGGCGUGCCUAAUACAUGCAAGUCGGACGGGAGUAUUGAAGAAGCUUGCUUUAGAGAUACUUUAGUGGCGGACGGGUGAGUAACGCGUGAGGAGCUGUCCAAUGCAGGGGGACAACAGUUGGAAACGACUGCUAAUACCCCAUAAGCCGAGAGGUAAAAGGAUUUAUCCGGCAUGGGAGGUACUCGCGUCCUAUGAGCUAGUAGGUGAGGUAACGGCUCACCUAGGCGAAGACGGGUGGCGGGCCUGGGAGGGCGAACGGCCACACUGGAACUGGGAUACGGUCCAGAGUCCUACGGGAGGCAGCAGUGGGGAAGAUUGGGCAAUGGGGGGAACCCUGACCCAGCGACGCCGCGUGGGUGAAGAAAUCCUUCGGGAUGUAAAGCCCUGUUGUAUGGGAAGAGCGGAAGACGGUACCAUACGAGGAAGCCCCGGCAAACUACGUGCCAGCAGCCGCAGUAA
rnacentral:rRNA from 1 species